CCUACGGGAGACAGCAGUAGGGAAUAGUGCUCAAUGGGGGAAACCCUGAAGCAGCAACGCCGCGUGGAGGAUGAAGGUUUUCGGAUUGUAAACUCCUUUUGUUAGAGAAGAGAAUGACGGUAUCUAACGAAUAAGCACCGGCUAACUCCGUGCCAGCAGCCGCGGUAAUACGGAGGGUGCAAGCGUUACUCGGAAUCACUGGGCGGAAAGAGCGCGUAGGCGGGAUAGCAAGUCAGAUGUGAAAUCCUAUGGCUUAACCAUAGAACUGCAUUUGAAACUGUUAUUCUAGAGUAUGGGAGAGGUAGGUUGCAUUCUUGGUGUCGGGGUCACAUCCGUAGAGAUCACGAGGAAUACUCAUUGCGCCGGCGACCUGCUAGAACAUACCUGACGCUGAUGCGCGAACGCGUGGGGAGCAAACAGGAUUAGAUCCCCCAGUAGUC
rnacentral:rRNA from 1 species